GACGAACGCUGGCGGCGUGCUUAACACAUGCAAGUCGAACGGAAAGGCCCUGCUUUUGUGGGGUGCUCGAGUGGCGAACGGGUGAGUAACACGUGAGUAACCUGCCCUUGACUUUGGGAUAACUUCAGGAAACUGGGGCUAAUACCGGAUAGGAGCUCCUGCUGCAUGGUGGGGGUUGGAAAGUUUCGGCGGUUGGGGAUGGACUGGCGGCUUAUCAGCUUGUUGGUGGGGUAGUGGCUUACCAAGGCUUUGACGGGUAGCCGGCCUGAGAGGGUGACCGGCCACAUUGGGACUGAGAGACGGCCCAGACGCCUACGGGAGGCAGCAGGGGGGAAUAUUGCACAAUGGGCGGAAGCCUGAGGCAGCAACGCCGCGUGCGGGAUGACGUCCUUCGGGUUGUAAACCGCCUUCGCCGGUGACGAAGCGGGAGUGACGGUAAUGGGUAAAGAAGCACCGGCUAACUACGUG
rnacentral:rRNA from 1 species